rnacentral:rRNA from 1 species
GACGAACGCUGGCGGCGUGCCUAAUACAUGCAAGUUGAGCGCUGAAGGUUGGUACUUGUACCGACUGGAUGAGCAGCGAACGGGUGAGUAACGCGUGGGGAAUCUGCCUUUGAGCGGGGGACAACAUUUGGAAACGAAUGCUAAUACCGCAUAAAAACUUUAAACACAAGUUUUAAGUUUGAAAGAUGCAAUUGCAUCACUCAAAGAUGAUCCCGCGUUGUAUUAGCUAGUUGGUGAGGUAAAGGCUCACCAAGGCGAUGAUACAUAGCCGACCUGAGAGGGUGAUCGGCCACAUUGGGACUGAGACACGGCCCAAACUCCUACGGGAGGCAGCAGUAGGGAAUCUUCGGCAAUAGACGAAAGUCUGACCGAGCAACGCCGCGUGAGUGAAGAAGGGUUUCGGAUCGUAAAACUCUGUUGGUAGAGAAGAACGUUGGUGAGAGUGGAAAGCUCAUCAAGUGACGGUAACUACCCAGAAAGGGACGGCUAACUACGUG